rnacentral:snRNA from 1 species
GUGCUUGCUUCGGCAGCAUAUAUACUAAAAUUGGAACGAUACAGAGAAGAUUACAAUGGCCCCUGUGCAAGGAUGACACGCAAAUUCGUGAAGCAUUCCAUAUUAAA